GGAGGCUUCGCCUAGUCUGGUCUAUGGCGCCGCACUGCUAAUGCGGUUGGGAGUUCGGCUCCCUCCCGGGUUCAAAUCCCGGAGCCUCCG
rnacentral:tRNA from 2 species